rnacentral:rRNA from 1 species
AAAAGAACCUGAAACCGUGUACGUACAAGCAGUGGGAGCACAGGUUUACCUGUGUGACUGCGUACCUUUUGUAUAAUGGGUCAGCGACUUAUAUUCUGUAGCAAGGUUAACCGAAUAGGGGAGCCGGAGGGAAACCGAGUCUUAAUUGGGCGUUAAGUUGCAGGGUAUAGACCCGAAACCCGGUGAUCUAGCCAUGGGCAGGUUGAAGGUUGGGUAACACUAACUGGAGGACCGAACCGACUAAUGUUGAAAAAUUAGCGGAUGACCUGUGGCUGGGGGUGAAAGGCCAAUCAAACCGGGAGAUAGCUGGUUCUCCCCGAAAGCUAUUUAGGUAGCGCCUCGUGAAUUCAUCUCCGGGGGUAGAGCACUGUUUCGGCUAGGGGGCCAUCCCGGCUUACCAACCCGAUGCAAACUGCGAAUACCGGAGAAUGUUAUCACGGGAGACACACGGCGGGUGCUAACGUCCGUCGUGAAGAGGGAAACAACCCAGACCGCCAGCUAAGGUCCCAAAGUCAUGGUUAAGUGGGAAACGAUGUGGGAAGGCCCAGACAGCCAGGAUGUUGGCUUAGAAGCAGCCAUCAUUUAAAGAAAGCGUAAUAGCUCACUGGUCGAGUCGGCCUGCGCGGAAGAUGUAACGGGGCUAAACCAUGCACCGAAGCUGCGGCAGCGAACGUAUCACCCAAGACAACUUUACGGAGUUGACGAUUGACGGAGCGAAGCGACGUCAAAGCGUUCAUUAAAGUCGAGUUGGCUUAGGGAUACGUUCGUUGGGUAGGGGAGCGUUCUGUAAGCCUGUGAAGGUGUGUCGUGAGGC